rnacentral:tRNA from 1 species
CUCUCUAGCGCGCAGGAGUGGUUGGUUCGAAUCCAACAGGUCUGUAGUGGUUCGAAUCCACAUACGGGGGCC